rnacentral:lncRNA from 1 species
UCUCUGUCUUUUUCGUGUUUGUUGUACUCUAUUCUGUGUCAUGAAUUUGCAUUGUUAGAGGUGGGUGAACUUUCCCAGAGUUACCAGGUGUAGAUCAGGUUAACUGGAGACAAAAUGCCAGGUCUUCAACAAAUUUUGCUGACUUUGUUGACUCUGGUAACCUAGGCAAGCAGGAGAUUGGGCUGUGAAUCUAGGAGCCAGGACCAGUUGCAGCAUAGCGAUAUGUUAAGCCAUCCUAAGGAGAGGAGGAAAGACCAAGAGAAACACCAAUGUCUGCAAAGAAAGAAGUGAGGCUAUGGAGAAAGAGAGAGACAGAGGAAGAACUUUGGAAGGUCAAGUGUAUUCUUGAGGACAGGAAAAAAAUAAUUACUGUACAUUAAAAAAUAAUAAUCUACUUUUUUUGCUGGAAAAACAAAUCUUUUCAACUUUCGAUUUGUCAAAAAUUACCUGACUUCUAGAACAUACAAUUCAUUAACUAACUCCAUACCAAUAAGUUGUAACAACUACAACAUCUAAAGAUUCAGAAAGACCAUGCAUAGUCUUCGUUUUUGUCAGAGUGGGUAUUUCUUUCAAACAACAGUCAGUUGUUCCAUGUAAUGUUCUACAAGACUGUUCUUUCACUUUACUUUUAAUUCUAACAUAUCUGCUUUUUAUUUAGUAUUCAGAGAGACUCCUUGUUCCCUACAACAGGCAACAAUCCUAUUGCUGUAUUUCAUGAGAAACUUGUUAAGAGCAGAUAGCAAAGAAAGAGCUGAUGGAUUUGGAAAUUCAGGGCUUUCUGAGAAUUAGCAAUAGAAGAGCUGCAGAUGAAGCCCCUUGUGUAAGGGAAAUCAGCUGGAUAACUGAUGGCUGAGAAAGAAAUGAGAGGGGUGAAGAAUGAAUCAGAAAAGAUAGGAAGUGGCUGAGUUGGUAUUUUUAAAUUGGUAUUUGGAGGAUGAAGUGUCCUUGGAUUCAGCUUUAAAUUAAUACUUGAAAGAUUGAGAUCAAAGCCAAAUAUUGAUCCAAAGCCAAACAUCCAUGUGUACCGUCUUUGUGAAAGCAUAAAGGCUUUAAACAGUACUGCAACAAGCUUCCAAGAAAUACUUAAUAGAGAAUGAUAGAUAGACUGGCUCAAGUCUGUUCUCACUUUUGCAUAAGAGCAGAGAGAAAAUGUAAUCCCCAGUCUGGUAUUCUCUCUUCUCUUUAAAUGCAUGACAUAAAUUUAGAAUAAAAAAUGUUACAGACACA